ACAUGCAAGUCGAACGAGAACGCACCUUCGGGUGUUAGUAGAGUGGCGCACGGGUGAGUAACGCGUGGGAACCUACCAAGCAGUACGGGAUAACCAUUGGAAACGAUGGCUAAUACCGCAUACGCCCUUCGGGGGAAAGAUUUAUCGCUGCUUGAUGGUCCCGCGUCUGAUUAGCUAGUUGGUAAGGUAAUGGCUUACCAAGGCGACGAUCAGUAGCUGGUCUGAGAGGAUGAUCAGCCACACUGGAACUGAGACACGGUCCAGACUCC
rnacentral:rRNA from 1 species